UUUUGAUUCACUAAAAUAGACCGACCGCAGGGCCAGAAUUCAUGGAACUGUUUUCGGCUACUGAGUCCCUGCGGUCGGUCAAAUCUUUAACUGUCUGUAACUCCCGAACCCCUGGUCCGAUCUGGGUGAAUUUCGAGUAUGUUGCUCACCCAGAUCAGACCUACCAGGGGACCCCUUUGUCCCUGUACCCCCUGUAUUUAGGGGGCAUCCAGAAAGUGGGGAAAACUCUGUCCCCACUAAUCUGUUUAAGUGCUAAUCUAAGGGGAGGAGAGGGAGGGGAGGUGACCGUGUUACAAUUGGCUACUGUAAUAAUUAUGAAAGUUACCUCCCUUGCAUGGGAGAAAUGCAUAAAAGCAGACCUGUGAAUAAAGCUGGCAGUUGACUCCCAGACUAUGUGUCGUCUAGUCCUUGGGGAGGUGGAUUAUGCUGUGUUCCUGUGACUUUGUAUGCUGAAUCUUUGUUCCCAGCAGAGAGCUAUUGGAUUAACCCCUGCCCCUCCGCUACACACAGUGUGUCUAAACCAGGUGCACAUAGUGUAUCUACAGGCACAGAGGGUGUCUAUAC